CGGAAACUGGAGAAACAACGGCGAAUUGAAGCGGGGAUUCUGUGACUUUUCACGGCUUCGAUCGGCAGCUUUCCGAAUGCUUUACGGCGACAAGGAUGACAUGGAGAUGACCGGCGUCGCACGAGCUUCCGAUCGGUACCAACCUUGGCCGGUGGAGUUGCCGGAAACGGAAACAAAAUCCGGGUCGGGUUCGCGGGUCGGGUUGACCCGGUUAUUUUUGUGACAAGGAUGACGUGGAGAUGAUCGGCGUCGCACGAUCUUUCUGGGUCGGGUUCGCGGGUCGGGUUGACCCGGUUAUUUUUGUGACAAGGAUGGCGUGGAGAUGACCGGCGUCGCACGAUCUUCCGAUCGGUACCAACCUUGGCCGGUGGCGUGGACGGAAAUGGAAACGAAAUUCGGGUCGGGUUCGC
rnacentral:lncRNA from 1 species